AAGCUUUAUUUAGUGACGCAUGAAAAACCUGACCCCGUAUUAAUCAAUCAAUUUAUGUUUCCCUAAAAGAAAGAACGUUGCCGCGGUACACGUUAGCAAUAGCGUGAGGGAGCUCAAUCACCCGAGGAAAAAAAAAAAGAAAUUCAAUUGCCAAUCUCAUCCUUAUAGCACUCCCAUCUUCGUCUCCGAUCAUCCUCCUUAGUGGGUGCAUAGCUAAAAGAUAAGUGAUCAGGGAACACUGCUGAGGAUAGCAUAAUGAUAGGAAGGAAAAUAGUGAUGGAACAGAAAGCUCCUUCUUUGGUCGAUCUGUGCGUGCGGACAGCCAUUGAUAAUAUAAGAUAUCUCGGAGAUGUUGGUGAAACAGAUAUAUAUCUACUUGAUAAAAUUUUGCCUCAUUGUACACUUGACCAGUUGAUGCAUGUGGAGAAGUGUUCAGAAGGAAGAGAUUUGAGUCCAAUAACUGAUAAGUUAUGGAAGAAAUUCUAUGAAAAAGACUUUGGUGUUGAGAGCACUAAUCUUGUAGUCAAGAGAAUGAAUACGAAGGGUGUCUUCUUUAAAUGGAAACAGUUGUACGAGGCAAAAUUGAAGGACGUGGCUAACGCUGAAAAAAAGGCUGUCGAUCGAAUUAUGCAACUGUACAAGAAAGAAGAUGCCCGAAAACAAAGUCGGCAGGUUCAGUUUUGCUCAAAGGUCCCACCUUCAAGCAAUAAAAGAAGCUUUUUUGGAGGCAGUGGACCUGGCUAUAAUGUUUCCAACUUGAAGAGCAACUUGAUGAAGAAAUCUAGAAUAGAAUUUCUUAAGAGUAAUGAGGUGAAAAAUCUUGCAGCUAUGAAGAGAAAUUCCUUACAGAGGAAUCAUAGUGCCUCUCUGAUGAAGAAGCCAGUUACAGUUUCAGGAAAGGAUUUGGCUUCAACUUCUUCAAAGCAUACCAAGCCUGCAGUGAGGAGAUUUUAGAAGCAAUCUGUUGAAGUUCCGGUAUUGCUGUAAAGAAACAAGGCAUCAAAUGGGAGAUAAAAGAGGAUAAAAGAUCUGAACCUUGUCGAGGAAGAAAGAGAUGAAACUGUUCCACAUGCCUUGUGGUUAUGCUCGAAGUGGAAAAGAGUAUGAAAAGAAAUGGAGCUUUACUCAAAACUUAAGGAAACCAGCCAUGGAACCUCUGCAGAUUUAGCAUUCUGGGCGAUGACUCGGUUGGCAGUUCACUAUAAAGAGAGGUUUUCCUUUUAUGUGUUAGGGUCAAGGAAUGCCAUUUUACAUGAGAGAUGGCUGGUCUUCAUGUAUAGAGAGAGGUUUUGCUGGAUUGUAUGGCUGGUCUUCAUUGGGAAUUUGUAGAGGCUAAGUUUAAGCCUAAGUUGGAAUGACAAGGACGAGUUCAUGUGCAUGGAGACCACCAAUUCAAGGAGAAUACAAAAUAUAUGUUGAUGGAGAUAUAUCGGAGAGAAGAGGUUUACUGGGAGCUGGCAUUGCAGUUCGGGAUGGCCAUGGAGAUUUAAUGGCAGCACUGGCAAAACCUUUUCAUCAAAUGUUGUUUUCUCAUCUAAAUCACUGAAUUGCUGGCCAUAAACGAGCAAUAAGGCUUUCUUGGGGGUGAAAUUGCCAGUGAUGCUGAGGAAGCAAUUAAUCUGCUCUUAGACGACGGUGAGUUUUUGGGUUCGACAUGUUUCAAGUGUGUUAUUUCACUUGGAGAAACUAAUCGAGUAGCCAAUUUGCAAUUUCUUCGGAAUUUAUAUGUGUACAAAUUUUGGAUGGAGGAAAGGUCAAUCUGGAUUCCUCCUACCAUUCAGUAUGUUGUAUCUCGUGAUUGGGCUGUUCAAUGAUAUGACCAUUUCGCUUUU